ensembl:misc_RNA Gm56041 predicted gene, 27543
UUCCUUUAAUCGUCAACCCGGAGCUAAUGCAAGAGGCCAAAAAAUGUUUGGAGGAAGAAAAACAAAGGCAGGAAGUGGCCGCGGCCUGACGGUGCGUGUGUGUCUGUAAAGAAGGGAGGGAGCCGGCUCAAUCUCCUCUUGUUUUUCCGAACUUCAAGGUCUAGGCAG